rnacentral:tRNA from 1 species
GGUCCGGUAGGCAAAUCGGCAAAGCCGCCACACUCAAAAUGUGGUGCGUGUGGGUUCGACUCCCACCCGGACUAC